AGAGAAAGAAACAUAGUUGUUUCUGCACUAAAACGCAGCAGGAGAAAGCUGCUCUGCGGGAAGGGGGGAAUUUCAGGAGGGAUUUACUAAAUUA